rnacentral:rRNA from 1 species
UACGUAGGGGGCAAGCGUUGUCCGGAAUCAUUGGGCGUAAAGCGCGUGUAGGCGGCCCGGUAAGUCCGCUGUGAAAGUCCAGGGCUCAACCCUGGGAUGCCGGUGGAUACUGUCGGGCUCGAGUCCGGAAGAGGAGUGUGGAAUUCCUGGUGUAGCGGUGAAAUGCGCAGAUAUCAGGAGGAACACCAAUGGCGAAGGCAGCACUCUGGGACGUGACUGACGCUGAGACGCGAAAGCGUGGGGAGCAAACA